rnacentral:tRNA from 1 species
GCCGACUUAGCUCAGUUGGUAGAGCGGCUGUUUCGUAAACAGUAGGUCGUUGGUUCAAUUCCAACAGUCGGCUCCA